rnacentral:rRNA from 1 species
GAUCAUGGCUCAGGAUGGACGCUAGCUACAGGCUUAACACAUGCAAGUCGAGGGGCAGCGAUGGUCUUAGCUUGCUAAGGCCGAUGGCGACCGGCGCACGGGUGAGUAACACGUAUCCAACCUGCCGUCUACUCUUGGACAGCCUUCUGAAAGGAAGAUUAACACAAGAUGGCAUCAUGAGUUCGCAUGUUCACAUGAUUAAAGGUAUUCCGGUAGACGAUGGGGA